rnacentral:rRNA from 1 species
CGACUGUUUAACAAAAACAUAGCUUCUAGAAAUAAUUAGAAGUAAAAUCCUGCCCGGUGAAAGCAAUUUUAAACGGCCACAAUCGUGCUAAGGUAGCGUAAUCAGUUGUCCUUUUGCUGAGGACUAGUAUGAAAGGAAAAACGAGGCUCAACUGUCUCUAUUAAAAAAAUAGAAAUUAGUUUUUAGAUGAAAAAAUCUAAAUAAAAUUAAAGGACGAAAAGACCCUAUAGAGUUUAAAUAUAAUUAUACUAUUCACAAAUUAAACAAAGCGAAUAGAAUAAAUAUUUUAAUUGGGGCAACAUAGGAACAAGAAAUUUCCUUAUAGUAAACAUUUAAUAUCAUAAAAAUGAAAAUCCUCAAAGAGAUAAAGAAAAACUACCUUAGGGAUAACAGCGUAAUUUUUCUAAAGAGACCUAAUCGAAAGAAAAGUUUGCGACCUCGAUGUUGGACUAAGGCAUCAAAAUGGUGAAGAAAC